rnacentral:rRNA from 1 species
UUGUAAAGUACUUUCAGUCGUGAGGAAGGUGUUAGGGUUAAUAACCUUAGCAAUUGACGUUAGCGACAGAAGAAGCACCGGCUAACUCCGUGCCAGCAGCCGCGGUGACACGGAGGGUGCGGGCGUUAAUCGGAAUUACUGGGCGUAAAGGGCACGCAGGCGGUUAAUUAAGUUGAAUGUGAAAUCCCCGGGCUUAACCUGGGAAUGGCAUUCAAGACUGGUUAGCUAGAGUCUUGUAGAGGGGGGUAGAAUUCCAUAUGUAGCGGUGAAAUGCGUAGAGAUGUGGAGGAAUACCGGUGGCGAAGGCGGCCCCCUGGACAAAGACUGACGCUCAUGUGCGAAAGCGUGGGGAGCAAACAGGAUUAGAUACCCUGGUAGUCCACGCUGUAAACGAUGUCGAUUUGGAGGUUGUGGUCAUGAACUGUGGCCUCCGGAGCUAACGCGUUAAAUCGACCGCCUGGGGAGUACGGCCGCAAGGUUAAAACUCAAAUGAAUUGACGGGGGCCCGCACAAGCGG